rnacentral:rRNA from 1 species
UACGUAGGCAGCAAGCGUUGUUCGGAAUUACUGGGCGUAAAGAGUGUGUAGGCGGUGCUCUAAGUUCGGUGUGAAAUCUCCCGGCUCAACUGGGAGGGUGCGCCGGAAACUGGAGUGCUGGAGCGCGGGAGAGGAAAGCGGAAUUCCUGGUGUAGCGGUGAAAUGCGUAGAUAUCAGGAGGAACACCGGCGGUGUAGACGGCUUUCUGGACCGUAGCUGACGCUGGAGACACGAAAGCGUGGGUAGCAAACAGG